GGGGGCGACACGGUUUCGACGGAAGCUGUCGCGACCUGAAGGCAUGCCGGGAGCCACCUGCCCGUAACUUGGUGGAAACCUAGAACUGCCAACAACAACUUGGCACUUGCUGCCUAAUUAAUUAGGCGCACGUCUCCCCGGGCUUUGCUCACGGGCCCGGCAAGAGGCGUCGCACUGUGAGCUGGCCCGAGCCUUUCGGUCCGUACGGCUCGGGCGAGAUUCAUCGGACUAGCCGGUUGCGUUUCUUGCUCAUUCUGACCGCGGCUGGCGAACCAAGACGAAUUGAGCUAAGCAUGUAGGCUUCAGGCCGUAGCGCUUUUCGGACGGGGGUUCGACUCCCCCCGCCUCCACCA
rfam:Acidobacteria bacterium 13_2_20CM_58_27 13_2_20cm_scaffold_43, whole genome shotgun sequence.